CUCCUCGGCCAUGGAUCAGGCUUGUCUACAGGCUCGCUAUAAAAUGAAGAUGGACGCCACAUGGUUCAGGAAGAUCACUUUAAGUCUUGAACUGCAUCAAGUGUCAUGCUGGCCUCAAGACACGAAGCACUGGGAGGCACUUGAGCAGGUGCACUUGGAUUGGCUAACUUGACCAGUCAGCGCCUGGAGCAGAUGGCUCAUGUUCAUGGAUCCAGACUUAAUAUUCUUGGAUUAAAAACAAAAGCUGUCUGGCAGUACAAAAAGCCAAAGAACGAUAUGUAAAACAUUGCUGUCAAUCAUCACAGCCUUGUGUUGAACAAGUGGGAUUGACUCAUGAGGACAAGUUGACUUGCAAGCAUGGUUACUAUUCCCUUCAGAGGCUGGUUUGAAGAGCAAAUGCGAUGGACUCAGGAAAGAGCUGGAUCUCAGGCUGACCUCUGUGAAGACCUUGGGCCCCAUGGUGCAAACUGGAUGCUAUCAAAUGCAUUGCUGUUUGGAUAGUGACCAGAGUCUGAACAACAUGACUAUGAAGUACAUGUGGUGUAAUGUGUCAAUAAAUAUUAAAACAAUG